CUUUGAUUCAUCAAUGAAAUUGCGUACGGCUCAUUAGAGCAGAUAUCACCUUGUUCGGAAUAUUAUAUGGAUAACUGCGGAAAUACUGGAGCUAAUACAUGUCAUACAUCCCCAACGUAAGGCGGGGUGCAAUUAUUAGAACAGACCAAACGUUUUCGGACGUUGUUUGUUGACUCUGAAUAAAGCAGUUUACUGUCAGUUUCGACUGACUCUAUCCGAAAAGGGUGUCUGCCCUUUCAACUAGAUGGUAGUUUAUUGGACUACCAUGGUUGUUACGGGUAACGGAGAAUAAGGGUUCGACUCCGGAGAGGGAGCCUUAGAAACGGCUACCACGUCCAAGGAAGGCAGCAGGCGCGAAACUUAUCCACUGUUGAGUAUGAGAUAGUGACUAAAAAUAUAAAGACUCAUCCUUUUGGAUGAGUUAUUUCAAUGAGUUGAAUACAAAUGAUUCUUCGAGUAGCAAG
rnacentral:rRNA from 1 species